UACGUAGGGUCCGAGCGUUGUCCGGAAUUAUUGGGCGUAAAGAGCUCGUAGGCGGUUUGUCGCGUCUGCUGUGAAAUCCCGAGGCUCAACCUCGGACUUGCGGUGGGUACGGGCAGACUAGAGUGUGGUAGGGGAGACUGGAAUUCCUGGUGUAGCGGUGAAAUGCGUAGAGAUCAGGAAGAACACCCGUGGCGAAGGCGGCUCUCUGGGACGGUACUGACGCUGAGACGCGAAAGCGUGGGGAGCGAACAGG
rnacentral:rRNA from 1 species